ACAUGCCUACAUCAUAGAAUUAAGGCAUCAGAUCCCAUUAUAACUCCUCAGUUAAGAACACUCAGGAUAGAGUAGUAGAGAUGGGUGACCGCCUAGGAAGUCCUAUUGUUUUACAUGCU
rnacentral:rRNA from 1 species